UUAACGUGCAGCUGCUUCAUAGAAAUCCGGUGAUUUUGUGAAUCUGUGUAAAUAAGAGUCAGUGCUGGAGAUCAGAUUCUGCUUCAUCAUGGAUGACACACAAACAUCCACAGAUGAAGAUCGUUCUCCAGGAUGCAGCUCAUUUCAGCAGAAGAGAUCAGAAGCAGAGCCCAGCUGUGUGUCUGUGAGGAGUGACGCGUCUAUGGGUCGUAUAAUAUCAU